UACGAAGGGGGGCUAGCGUUGCUCGGAAUCACUGGGCGUAAAGCGCACGUAGGCGGAUUGUUAAGUCAGGGGUGAAAUCCUGGAGCUCAACUCCAGAACUGCCUUUGAUACUGGCGAUCUCGAGUCCGGGAGAGGUGAGUGGAACUGCGAGUGUAGAGGUGAAAUUCGUAGAUAUUCGGAAGAACACCAGUGGCGAAGGCGGCUCACUGGUCCGGUACUGACGCUGAGGUGCGAAAGCGUGGGGAGCAAACAGG
rnacentral:rRNA from 1 species